AUUGAACGCUGGCGGCAUGCUUUACACAUGCAAGUCGAACGGUAACAGGCCUUCGGGUGCUGACGAGUGGCGAACGGGUGAGUAAUGCAUCCGAACGUACCCAGAGGUGGGGGAUAACGUAGCGAAAGCUGUGCUAAUACCGCAUGUGAUCUGAGGAUGAAAGCGGGGGACCGAGCAGCAAUGUUUGGCCUCGCGCCUUUGGAGCGGCCGAUGUCGGAUUAGCUAGUUGGUGGGGUAAAGGCCUACCAAGGCGACGAUCCGUAGCUGGUCUGAGAGGACGGUCGGCCGCACUGGGACUGAGCCACGGACAAGAGUCCUACGGGAGGCCGCAGUGGGGAAUUUUGGACAAUGGUCGCAAGCAUGAUCCAGCAAUGCGGCGUGCGGGAAGAAGGCCUUCGGGUUGUGAUGCGCUUUUGGCAGGAGCAAAACGGUGUCCGCUAAUACCGGGCGCUAAUGACGGUACCUGCAAAAUAAGCACCGGCUAACUACGUG
rnacentral:rRNA from 1 species